UAAAAGGCUUUUAUAAAAGCCAUGUUUAAAAAUCUUGAGUUAUUAU
rfam:Physcomitrella patens subsp. patens PHYPAscaffold_446 genomic scaffold, whole genome shotgun sequence.